AAAAAUCAGCUAACAAUUCGUGUAGAAAGGACUGAUCAAUAUUUAAAUGACUCUCUUUAUUGAUUUAAAAUUAACUUUCAAUUAAGAGAUCCAUAGGACUCUUAACUGCGACACUUAUCCAUUCAAGAGAAAAUAAAGGUACAUUUAUCGAUACACUUAAACAGCAGUGGCUGGUUUCCUAUUGAUUCAGUCAUUUGCGCUGGGAUUCGUUAGCGUCAUCUGACUUUAACUCGCUUACCAGGUCCUCACAGUGUGCCAUGCUGGAAGAUGCAGGAAUGCACAAAACGAUACAGGGGAAGCAAACGGAAUUAGAUGUAUGCAGAGGUAACAGUUCUACUGGCUGGUAUCAACUCUGACAACAUCACCUAUUUGUGUGUAUUGAUUAACAUAUAAUCCAUAGGAAGCUUCAUAGCCCAGAACCGUCCAGUGAAAUGAAGCAGCCCCAAACUGACUCAUUUAUUACCUAUUCAUUUGUUGUGAUGAAACCUCCAGGAGCAAAAAAAAAAAUGCUGCAGUAUAGUAAUCUUUAAACAUUAAGACCUAUUCUGAUCAACUGAAAUUAUUCCUUAAACUGAGAACCACAAACAGAACGUAUAUAAAAUAUAACUUGCAUGUGUGAUCACCAGCAUUCUGUUUCAAAAAAUUAUUUUGCUAUGAAACAAGAUCAAAUUCUUUGAAGCCUGGGUGUGUUUUACAUUAUGUCAAGCUGCUGUUUCCAUUAUUUCUUCUUUGUCCACUAAAGGUUAACUCGUACUUACCAAAGGCUCAUUUGCAGAGUUAUGAUAUGAAUCAGUGAUAUCUUUAGGAUCAUAAUAAAACAGAAAACUGGUUUUGGACUUUUGCUGCUGGGUGAGAGUCAAGAUCAGAAAGACUAGUGUACAAAUGCAAAGCAAAUACCACCUCCUAAUAUUUCUAAAUCACAUAAUGUUAGUGUAACAUAAUUUGGAAUAUAUUAUGAUGGUUACAAUUACUAAAAAGUGCAUGAUGCCAUUAUUUCCAACUGGAAAUUAGAUGAUUAUACUAAUUAAGUGAUAGCAGGUGGCAGAAUGACUGCUACAAUCUUCUCUGAUGUGCAGAGAGAGAUGCACGGUUCACUGUCUAAAACACUCAGGAAUAGUAACAAUUGGCUUAACCAAUAUUCUGUCCCAAGAUGCAGAAUAAGGAUUCACUUUGAUUUAACACUUCCUUAUCACAUCAAAGAGGUGAAGGGACAUCUUUAUGGAUUGGCUUAGGAAAAAAAAAUGCUACCAGUUCAGCUUCCACCCUUGCAUCUAACAUUUCUUGGUAUAACAGAAUUAAAGUAUGAAAUGAAUUCCAAGAGAAUCAUGUAAUUCUAAAAUGUCAGCAACCUUCCUUUAAAUUGCAACUGGCCUAAAUUCAUCAUUACUGCUUUUAAGUUCCUCGAUUCGGAAUUGCUAUAGAUGUGCUAUUGAGUCUCGUAAGUCAAGCAAACUGGAAAUGCUGUAGUAAAAUGAAUAUUUCUCUGUCAAUAAAAGCACUAAAUACUUUCAAGAAUAUAUGUGGUCAUUAAAUACAUUUGAGUUUUAACUCAAAUUUACUAAGCAGUAUUUGCACAUUAUUUUUACUGCAGGAUUUGAAGAUUAUUCACAAUUUCACUGAGUUAGAAAAAUAAUCCUCCAGUCCUGUGAGUUAUUUCAGAUGUUGUUUUUCUUGUCCUCUCUGCUGUGUUCAGACUGAAGUAAGGCUAAGCCAUCAUCCACAAUUAGUUUUCCAGAUAAUUCAUCAUUAGUUUAAAAACUAUGAGAUAUGUUUAAGAAGCUACUCUCUUUUAUUUGGACUUCCAUGUGCUCCUGGACUGUGACCUCAGUUUAAGGAUGGCAGGGGAGCAAAUAUGCUGAAGAAAAACCACGCUGUGCAAGAAUGCAACCACCAUAUGCCUAAGAGGCAAAAGAAGUGAUUCUUAUAAAUGAUGAAAAAUAAAUGUUAUCUAAUUUCUGAAAACAUCUUAUCUAGUUUCAUCUGUCUCUGUAGCAUUCAUUUUAGUUUUGUUACUGUAUUUCAUACUACAGAUCAAAAGCAUGGCUGAUAAGACUUAAGUUUAGAUAUAUUUGUAACAUGCUAUGAUAUCUUACAGCAUAGCUGGUUCGUUCAAACAAUUACUGCCUUUUCCCUCUACAUCUUGCAAAGCCUUACCGGUGGCACAAUUUAAAGAAACAUUUUUGCUAUCUGACUUUCCACAGGUGAACACAAGAGAAAGCUGGAUCAGAGAGCAGAAGGUGAAAAACUAUUGUUUUGUUUGUUAUAUAACAUAUUUGUUAUGUCGAGCAUUACAUUGUGGUGCUAUUCUCUUCUCAGUGAUGACACGUGCAAAUUAAGCUACCCUACUCUUCUUCUAAAACUCACAUAGUUGUAUGUGCUAUGACAACCACAAAUACUGUGCAGAGUAUGUCUUUAGCAAGGACAAAAAAGAAAGUUUUUCCAACUUGGAAGCCUAAACCAACCUUUUUUUUCAGAGUGAAACUUGAAAGCUUGUGAAAAUGGAAGGAAACAAAACUUCUGAUUACAAAAAAUGCCUUAUCUCCUCCAUGAAUGCCAAACUGCUCUACAUUUAGAAUGCUAUCACACAGACGUUGCAUCUUUUCCAGGAAAAAAAUUGAGCUAAUUUCCUGCAAUGAGCAUGAAAAAUAUCUCCCUCUCUGUGGCUAAAAUAAAAAACUUUACUGCUGCACCCCUGGAUAUUCAAUUACCUGUGCAAAUGGGAAUAAUGGUAGACAGUUACUCAGAGGCAGCUACUGGAGAAAUUUUAACUUGUUGUUCAACUAAAGAAAAUAACAUCAUCAUACUAUAGGCGUGAGGCCAGGUCUCUUACCUUCACAUGUCACUGAUUAGUUCAGCCUUUGCUGAACAAAAAUCCUUAAUCUUCUCUUUUUAAUAUUGAAGAGGCAAACCCUCUUUCACCUGCAUGUGGAGUUUCCUUUUCAUCAAAGCUCAGGAGAUUCCAGAAACAAAAUCAAUGUAUGCAUGUUCGGAGCAGUUUUCAGGGUUUUGUAAGACAAAUCUUUCAAAUGGGAGCUAGUUUAAUGCUAUUGAGCUGAGUUUCGAUCUGACAGAGUGAGUGAACAACACAGAAACAGUUCACUUACCACUGCUCACACUACAGGAGGUGGGAAUCAGGUACAGUUCUGUACAAAUACAGCUGUGCAAUUUCUCAGUAAACUCUUACCCUACCUAAUCCAAUGUUAAAUGCAACCAUACAGGGUUUAAACAAACAAAGACUUAAGAAAGAAAUGCAAUUUAUUCCUCUGCAGUAAUGAGUGACAAUUAUGGUUUUCUCAAACAACAUACAAACUAGUGAAAAUUAUGACUAGCUCUGCUAAAUUUAAUAGCUAAGCUGGUUUUAUCUAUACCAUAUAUCUACUGCUAAGCUGGUUUUAACUGGAGCAUUUUCAGAUUCUGUGUCCUAACAGAAAACUGUAUCUGAACUAUGAUCUACAAAUAUCCUGUUCUGCAUUUCCCUCUGUUUUAAAACUUCCAACAACUUGCAUUCUGGAUUCUUUCUGAAGAAAAAAAAAACAUUUAAAAGAGACUCAAUUUUAUUGCCAGGCAUUUUAGGUUAAUAUGAGUUGUAGCACAGCUUUGCACAGACAGAUUCUUUUGUUCCUAUGCUCUGAUUCUUUGAAUGCCAAUACUUCAAUCAGCUUAGAAGCAGAGACAAUUCAUUCCUCUUCUGAGAAAAUGGUAUUAUAGCCACAUGUCCAUAUCACUAGUACAUCAUGACAGUCUCCACGAUCAUACAUCUGAUUAGAAAAACGAUCACUAGUCAUUUCUUGAGCUAUUCAGUAUCUGGCACAAUAGAGUAUAUGCUUCCUCUGUACUAUUUAGAUUCCUUCACUUUAAUAAACAAACUAAUGAGACCUUUAAAAAUGCUUAAACAUACAACCAGGGUGGCAAAGUGUGAACUGAAAUGAAUCAAACAAAAAACCCCAAUAUUUAAGUAUGUCUGUUACUGUGGCAACAUGCCCACACUGGCUUUGGACAAUUCCAGGUUUAUCAAAGGGACAAUAUUCUACUAAGACAACUGGGGACUAAAAGGAAUAGCGUUUGCAACCCAUUUAGUUCAAAUACAAAAUUCCAGGCCUUCAAAAAUACAAACAUCAGCUUCUCCUGCCAUUAUUCAGUUCAAACCCAUAGCUCUAAGUUAACAAGAAAUGUGAUUGUUGUGUUAACCCUGUGUUAGUCCUAAAUGUUCCUCCUUUCAUAAUGUGCAGGUGAGGUAAUGAAGUUCUCUUCAAAAGGGACAAUUAGUACUGUUCCUUCUGGUGUGCUUAAAUAUCUGCAGAAUUUUGGCUGAUGUACAUAAUACACUUUUGUAAUCCAUACAGAAAUACUAGAUGGAAAAACAUAGCAAUGCAUGUUUCACACACUGUACAAUAUGAGCAAGUUAGUAUAAAUUUUAAGAGUGAGAAAAAUCAGGACCCAGGGUAGGUUCCUCAUAUUAGCAAAAUUCCAGCAGGCUAGCCAUCUUCCUUACAUAAAAAAAUGUCUAUUAUCCGGUGUAAUUGAAUAACUCUCUGAUAAUUACAUCAGCAUUUUAAUAGUAUAUAAAUAACCUCUCCCCUAAUUACCAUUUUGUUCAAUUUUUCAUAUAUUGCAGUGCUAUGAAAGGAGGUUCUUGGUAAAGUACUUUACCCUUUCAACAACAAUUAAUAAUUCAAUUAACAGGUCUUUUUUUAAAAACAAAAGCUUAUGGAGAAAGAGCAAGGAGGUCCACAGUUGAAAGGAGAGCUCUCUGUUAUGCUAUAAUCAUGGCUUCAUGGCUGUACUAGUAGAAAAUUUGUUCAUGGCUUAUUUCUCUUUCUGUGCAGCCCCUCAAUAGAAAUGACACCUGCUUUUUGGUGCUGUGAAUAAAAUCCUGUUCAUAUGACUGAAAAUACAAGUGCACCUGUGUAGUUUGGAAAUUAAAAAUAGGCACAUCCCCAUGCCAGUUUAUUUUUCACACGUGAACUUGUAUAUUUGUUUUUAAAAGAACCCACAGAGACAGUAACGUCACUGAAGUCUUGACAUUAUGAAUUAGAGGGGAAAUACAUUGUCAAAAGCAGAAACCGAAUUUUCUCCCACCAAACAUUUAGACAGUCACACUUUCCUUUUCCCUAGUGUCAGGGAAGGAAAGUGAAAUGCACGGCUCAGAAAAGCACUGUUGAACAGAAGAUGCAGUCCUCACUCAAGCAUAGCCUGAGUGAGAAGCCAAGCAUCUGAAAAGCUUUGAAUCACGGGUGACCCUGUAGCAAAACAAAAUUGUGUUAAAUGAACGGCUGACAAUCACAACUGUGGUUCACAUAGCAGUAAUAUUCAGAGGCUAUAAUAAGGUCUGCAACAUUAAUGUUUUCAGACUUUAUAAUCAGUGUCAUAUUUUGCUAAUUUCCAGGCAUUUUAUUUACCUCAUGACAGAGAAUGCCCCAGUUAAACUUACAUCUACUGUCAGAAUUUCAAAAUGUCAUCUCAAGUUUUACAGAAACCUCAUUCUUUUCAGAAGUAAUUAGUUAAGGCAUAGUUUGCAUGGCAAUUAAAAACCACUUGCUUGCAGAAGCUUGUAAGCAUUAUGUAAUUUUUUUAAACUACAAGUACACAUGCAUAUUCUUGCCUCCAGCUUAAAUACAGUGAAUGUUGUAGUUGGUUGCACAGGAAUUGUCUCAAGAACAUAAAAGCAAGCCAAACACGAUUGUAUUCCAACUAAAAUUGCUCUCUUUAUACCGUGUAUUGAAACUUGAUAACUGUUGGUUAUAAAAUUCCUUUGAUUUUCUGUAGGUAAUAAAAUACUUUGGCAAUUACUAUUGACAGUUCUGGAUAAUCUUGAAGGCUGCCUUGCCUGAAGAAGAUGAGUGUUACAAAUCACUCCACUGAAAGAGGGAAGAACAGCAGCAGGCAGCAGACAGGUUUCAAUUUCACAAUGCUGAUUAUCUCAUUCGUGAUUCUAUGCAUGCCUAAAUCUGAGGAUCCCUCAAGCAGCUAUAUGGACUUCUACUUUUAAAAUGCCUAUUACGCUUUCAUACUUUUUGCUGCUUCCUGAAGAGUGCCAUUUCGCCAAGCUUAAAUAGCAGAAAAUUGCACUGCUUUUCCUCUGCCCAUCUCCUCAAUCUCUAUUAACCUGCACAAGAACAAAGGAGUAUGAUAGUCCAGCUAUAGGUUGGGAAAUAGGUUUGAAGUUGUUUUUCAUUUACUGGUACCUAUCUUCCUGAUUCAUAAAUGUAUUUGAACAAUAACAUUAUUUUAAUACAUUACCUAAUGACUGAAAGCAUAGCCUUUAAUUACAUCUCUAUUUAUACUAAUAAAUAUGCUCUGUGUUCAGAAAUACAUGCAGCUAUUGUUUACACGGGCAUCAAAUGAUACCGUAGUGCUGUCAGCAUGUGUCAAGGCUUAAACAGAAAGGAAUAAAAAAGAAAAUAAUGAAAAAUGCUGAGGGUUUUUGUUACUUUUUUUUUGUGUUUUUUUUUUCUUUCUUUCUUUCCUAUCUAGGCUACAAGAGAACAAACAGAAGCAGCUACAAGCAGACUGGAAAAUUGUUGAAGCACCUGGUUCUAAUGCUUGCAGUAGGCCUUUAUUAGAUGUCAUAAACUGAAUGAUGCAUUACUCUGUGGACAACUUAUAGCCUGCAAAUGUUGAGGUAAAAUGGAGGACAAAGAAUUCUUUUAAAACAAAGAGGUUAAACAUUCCUUUUUAAUCAAACAACACUUAUUAGAUGGAGGAAUCAUAAUAGGCUCACAGAGAUCGGAGACUAUUUGUGUUACUUUUUAAUGUAUUUCUGUAUCGCUUUAAUAAAUAAAAAGUAUUUUACUUUAAUAAUUCACAUUUUAUGUAUGAGUGAUUUACAGUCGA